UACGAAGGGGGCUAGCGUUGCUCGGAAUCACUGGGCGUAAAGCGCACGUAGGCGGAUUGCUAAGUCAGGGGUGAAAUCCUGGAGCUCAACUCCAGAACUGCCUUUGAUACUGGCGAUCUUGAGUCCGGGAGAGGUGAGUGGAACUGCGAGUGUAGAGGUGAAAUUCGUAGAUAUUCGCAAGAACACCAGUGGCGAAGGCGGCUCACUGGCCCGGUACUGACGCUGAGGUGCGAAAGCAUGGGGGAGCAAACAGG
rnacentral:rRNA from 1 species